CAGAGUGAGGUGCAUCUGUCUCCACUGAUUAUGCUUUACAAUCCAUACAUACAGUUCUGGGAAUAAGAAUUUUCUAUUAGUGUUCAUAAGUUUCCCAUGAUCAAACAUUAAAUCUCAGUAUCCUGGAUUCAGCCGUCUGUCAGUCUCUCUGCCUCCUUCCCCUUUCCUGAGGCAGAUUAUUCAGAUAAGGGAAACUACAGUUGUGUUUAUGAAGUCAGUGUCUCCUCACGCUCCUUCCGUUCCUCUGGCUCUGAACUGCUGCUCAUCACUAUCACAGCGUCUCUGCUUCCUGCUGUUAUUGGUGCUGCACUUUCAGCUGGACUGAUCUUACUGACCGUCCUCAUCAUCGUCCUGUUUCUUAAGAGAAGACAGAAGAAGAAGAAUGAUGAAGCUCAUUUGAAGUGUUCUUUCAGAAAUGGUGCAGCUAAUACAUAUGCAAGCUCAUCUACUGACAACAACUAUAAAGAGGAUGAUGAGGACGAGGAUUAUUAUGAGAAUGUGGAAUUAAAGGUUAAACACUUAGAUCAUGAUGACUUUGAGGAGGAUUACAUGAAGGUGGACGUGGACAGCUCUGAAGAAGACUAUAUCAAUGUGGACAUUACAGAAAAUAAAUGUGUGGCAAACAAAUCUAAUGAAAACAUUUAUGAAAGCUACUGUGAUUAAUACUGAGUGAGGCCAGAUCAUUACAAAUUAUGCUGCUUCAAGCAAAUAAAAUAUAACAGAAGCUUAACGAAGGAAGAAUUUUAGUUGGUCACUCUAUUUUUUUUAGCAAUGAUUUAUUCAAGAUUCAGAAUGGGGAUUAUGGCAUAUGAUUUUAUGUAA